rnacentral:lncRNA from 1 species
GUUCGGGUACAAGUAAGAAUUGCCUAUUUCAGGGAUAGGUAUAAUAAGUUCAGGUAUAAGCUUGGUCUAUGGAUAGGUAUAAUAAGUUCAGGUAUAAGCUUGGAAUAGACCAAUUUUGCGUUUGGAUGAAAAUUGAAUCGUUAGAAAACUAACGUUUGGAUAGAUAAAGAUGGAAUAAGAAGAAUAGUUGGUAGUUAUAAAUAAAAAAAUAAUGAUAUUGCCCUUAUAUUAUAUUUGAAUUUAAAAUUUUAAAUUUUGUAUCUAAAUUUUUAAAUUUAUAUAUAUAACUUUUAAAUUUCAAAAAUUCAAAAUUUAUAUUUAAAUUUUUAAAUCUCAAAUUCCAAAAUUCAAAGUUCUAAAUUUUACAUUUAAGAUUAAAUAUAAAUUUAAAAAUCUAAAAUAUCAAAUUUUAAAUUUAAAAAAUUUAAAUUGUCAAUUUUAAAAUUUAAAGUUUUAAUUUUAAGAUUACAAAUUAUAAAUUUUAAAAUUUUAAAAUUAAAAUUUAAAUUUUUUAAAAAUUAAAUAGGGGUGGGAACAACUGUUU